GACCUAAGUGGCUGCAAAAAUACUUACUGCAGAUUUCUGUUUACACUCUGAUUGGUGCACAGGAGCAAACAGACAGUGCAAUUGUACGUGUAUUUACCUUUAUGUCACUGUACCUUAUAUUUUAUUCCUUUCUUUAAAUCCAUAAUGGAGCGCGCGUCUCGUGGCACCCAAGCGUCCCGCCUGCUCUGAUUGAUGCGCGUAAGGAAACAAAAUGCAACUCUGCCUGCCCCAGAUGACACUUCACCAGUCAGAUCUAGGCACAGCUGUCACAGAACAUGCUUCAGCCAAGAGCUCAGACACCAUUCUACAACACUGGCAAAAAUAUGAUUUGGAAGACUUAACCAUACAACAAACACAAUAACGAUAACAG